GCCCAGCCCUAAACUUUGAUAGCCCACUACACCCGCUAUCCGCCCGGGUACUACGAGCACUAGCUUAAAACCCAAAGGACUUGGCGGUGCUUUAGAUCCACCUAGAGGAGCCUGUUCUAGAACCGAUAACCCCCGUUAAACCUCACCCUCUCUUGUUCUUCCCGCCUAUAUACCGCCGUCGUCAGCUUACCCUGUGAAGGAACCACAGUAAGCAGAACUAGUACAACUCAAAACGCCAGGUCGAGGUGUAGCAUAUGAGAGGGGAAGAAAUGGGCUACAUUCCCUACUACAGGGAACACGAACAAUGUAAUGAAAUAUGCAUUAGAAGGAGGAUUUAGCAGUAAGCAGAAAUUAGAGCGUUCCGCUGAAACCGGCCCUGAAGCGCGC
rnacentral:rRNA from 1 species